CGGAAUUACUGGGCGUAAAGCGAGCGCAGACGGUUACUUAAGCAGGAUGUGAAAUCCCCGGGCUCAACCUGGGAACUGCGUUCUGAACUGGGUGACUAGAGUGUGUCAGAGGGAGGUAGAAUUCCACGUGUAGCAGUGAAAUGCGUAGAGAUGUGGAGGAAUACCGAUGGCGAAGGCAGCCUCCUGGGAUAACACUGACGUUCAUGCUCGAAAGCGUGGGUAGCAAACAGGAUUAGAUACCCUGGUAGUCCACGCCCUAAACGAUGUCAAUUAGCUGUUGGGCAACUUGAUUGCUUAGUAGCGUAGCUAACGCGUGAAAUUGACCGCCUGGGGAGUACGGUCGCAAGAUUAAAACUCAAAGGAAUUGACGGGGACCCGCACAAGCGGUGGAUGAUGUGGAUUAAUUCGAUGCAACGCGAAGAACCUUACCUGGUCUUGACAU
rnacentral:rRNA from 1 species